GUCCCCGUAGCUCAGCCGGAUAGAGCACUUCCCUCCUAAGGAAGGGGCCGGACGUUCGAAUCGUCUCGGGGACGCCA
rnacentral:tRNA from 2 species